AUUGAACGCUGGCGGCAUGCCUUACACAUGCAAGUCGAGCGGCAGCAUGAUCUAGCUUGCUAGAUUGAUGGCGAGUGGCGAACGGGUGAGUAAUACAUCGGAACGUGCCCUGUAGUGGGGGAUGACUAGUCGAAAGAUUAGCUAAUACCGCAUACGACCUGAGGGUGAAAGUGGGGACCGCAAGGCCUCAUGCUAUAGGA
rnacentral:rRNA from 1 species